GCCUGGGUGGCUCAGCGGUAGAGCGCCCGACUCAUACUCGGGAGGUCGUGAGUUCAAUUCUCGCCCCAGGCA
rnacentral:tRNA from 1 species